UUUUAAAUAUUUUGUAAAUAUGGACUGC
rnacentral:piRNA from 1 species